rnacentral:rRNA from 1 species
GCUUACGGCCAUACCACGUUGGAAACACGACAUCCUGUUCGAUCUGUCAAGUUAAGCAACGAUUGGCCUCGUUAGUACUUGGAUCGGAGACGGCUUGAGAAUCCCAGGUGUUGUAAGCA